rnacentral:rRNA from 1 species
GACGAACGCUGGCGGCGUGCUUAACACAUGCAAGUCGAACGCUGAAGCUCAGCUUUUGUUGGGUGGAUGAGUGGCGAACGGGUGAGUAACACGUGAGUAACCUGCCUCCUUCUUUGGGAUAACGCCCGGAAACGGGUGCUAAUACUGGAUAUUCACUGGUCUUCGCAUGGGGGCUGGUGGAAAGGGUUUUUCUGGUGGGGGAUGGGCUCGCGGCCUAUCAGCUUGUUGGUGGGGUGAUGGCCUACCAAGGCUUUGACGGGUAGCCGGCCUGAGAGGGUGACCGGUCACAUUGGGACUGAGAUACGGCCCAGACUCGUACGGGAGGCAGCAGUGGGGAAUAAUGCACAAUGGGCGAAAGCCUGAUGCAGCGACGCCGCGUGAGGGAUGGAGGCCUUCGGGUUGUGAAACUCUUUCGCUAAUGGUCAAGCCGCAACAAUGGUUGUGGUGAGGGUAGUGGGUAAAGAAGCGCCGGCUAACUACGUG